UGGAAGAGGAGGGCGUCUGUCCAACAGCAGAACUCCGCGUCUCCCCUCGGCUUCCUGGAAACACAGGAAGUAGCAGCAGCCCUGGCUCCCGGCGGGCCACACGCAGCACCACCCACAGGGAGUAGGGCGGCAUCACCCGGUGCCUUGAGGGCACCUCACACGUUUCCUGUAAGUGGGCUCAGAAAACCACACAAGUCAGGGAGAACACAGCCAGGAGAGAUUCCUGACAACAGCUCUGUGGGAUCCUGUGAGCAGCCUCAGGUCCAGAGCAGAUCUCGUCUGUGAAAUGGGUGUGACAAUGCUCGUCUCAUGGUUUAGACACGAGGACCAUAUCUGUUCUUUUAUGAACCAACCUACGCCGUGUCUGCAAGCUACAGGCCGUGGAGGUGAAGGUGCCCCCCUCGCCCACCCCACAGUGGGCAGGCUCUGGGUGGGGAGGACGCUCGCAGAGAAUACAAGUGAGUCCCAGCCCACAGCAGCUGAUGCCACACACUCUGAAAUCGCAGCCAGAGAGGACACAGAUGCUUGGGAAAGAAAGAUCUGAAGAUGCCUCCAGGGCAGGGUGGAGGAGGUGGCAUCCGGCCGGAGGGGACAGCACAGACCAGCCCAGACACUCCUGGUCGCAGCCUGCCCCAAGGCCAGGGCUGCCCUGUAGCUGCUCGGUGCCCGGAGGCGUCAGGGGGCCGGCCUUGGGUGACCCCAGUGUCACCCCAAGAGCACCUCCCUCUGUCCUUCAGGGCUCCUCCAGGAGCAGAGGCUGUGGUCCCCGUCUCUCUGCAGGCAGUUCAGAGGCUCCGAGUCUAUGAGAUGCCCAUCAGCACCCCGGCCCCUGACCAACCCCUCCUGCACAUGUUCCCACAGCGGCAGAGGGUUUUCAUUGGACCCAUUGUCCACUGACCAGCCAGAUCCUGAAAACUAUUAUAAGAAAUAUAUCAGAUGAUCGCUGGGAAGCAGGGCUGCUCCCCUGGGCAUUCGUCUGAGGAACAGAGUCUUGUUAACUUGCAAUGUCCGGUUCCGAGCACGACUGAAGACUGUGGAGAUGCUGAGGAGGAUGGGGGAGCACAGAAAGGGCCAGAGGGUGGGGCUGUCCCUGGUCAGAGAAGGCCGAGAAGGGGCAGCCUGGGAGGAGGGGGUCAAGAUCAACAUCCGCCACCCCACCUGCGCAGACAACUCUCCCUGGGCAGGACAGAUGUCCCUCCUCCCGUGAAGACUGGAGCCACGUGCCCGUCCGGGGCUGCCCAGGGGUCUCCCUUUCCCCACCUGCCCCAACCGACGAGCAGUGAGCAGACGGCGGUUUCUGCACGUGCGCGGCACUGCCCUGAGCCCUGAGACCGAGAGGCAGCAUGCCCGGGGCCCGUCUCCUGGGGGGGGGGGGGGUGGGGUGCAGUCUCGGGUCAGCUCUAACAAGCGCUUUAAAGGCCAAGGGGUCUGCAAUCUUCAGACGAGCCCGUCUUCAACUGCUUUCAGCAGCACACCCCCUGGGGCAGGUCCUCACUGCUGGUGAGGCACCCGUGGGCUGUGGCUGAGAAACGGUGUCUGCACCCCAGGUCUGAGCACCUCAAAGCACAGGCCCCUUGGAAGCGGCAGCUCAGGGCAAAGCCCAGAGCAGGAGCAGCGAAGGGCGCCGCCUGGAGCCUGGAGGCUGCAGAAGGGAAGGUCUCAGGAAGGGAGGUGGAAGUGGGGGUCGAGGCCGAGUGAAGCUUUCAGAUGUUGCCUCACUCUCCCGACUCCGGUCCUCAAACCUGCACUCAGCGCCCAGAGCAGGUGCGGAUGAGCGUUCAUAAAUCCGGGGAGGCCCUGGAGGCUGCGUUUUGCCAGCCCCCUCCUCCUCCUCUUGCCUUUCCUCAUCUUUCACAGGAAGGAGGGGACAGGCUGACGCACGAGUCCCCAGACAGGAGGGUCCCCGUCCCUCACUUGAUGUGUUACGGUUAUGAACUGCUUCGGGGAGCAGGCCUCAGACACCCAGGCGGCCUUAGCCAGAGGGAGCCCACAGAAGGGAAGUCUUCUCUUGCAGGCGGUGGAGAUACGGCCAGGGGGUUUAUUUAUCACAGAAGGCCUAGAUGCCCUGAGAGGGCAGACACUGGGUUCCUUCAUUUGUGACGAGUGGAAAAACCCUGCCUCAAAUAGGCCUAAAUGAAAAGGAAAUCUAUUCCCUGUCAUCCGAAGGGGCUCAGCGUCGGUGAAUUCAGUGGCUGCGAUGUCACGGCUGGCAGGUUCCUUCUGCCCGGCUGUGCCCAGGGCUGACUUUAUCCCUGGGGAGCCGGAACCGGCUGCAGCAGCUCCCACAUCAUCGACCCACGGACAGUCUCCGUGCAAGGAGCAAGCCCUCCCGGGAGCCCCUCACACGCCCCGCGGUCUCUGACGAACAGCUAACAAACCAGCCCCUGGCAGAGGGACGUGGGGAGUCACCACGGGCCUGCACCUCCUGGGGUCUCCUCUCGGGUCAGGGUCGGAAUGGCAGCUGGAGCCCCCUGAAUCACGCAGGGAGGAGAGGAACCUUCACAAAGUGGAAAUUCUGCUCUGCAGGAGGAUGGUCUUCCCAGGGCCUCCAGGUCCCACAGGGCUCCCAGCAGAGCUGAGACCUGGUCCCGGCCCUCGGUGCGGUCUGGAGACGGCCCACGGGGCCCACGGCUGAGAUCAGAGCUGGUGCCAGCCCAGCCCCACACCACGGGGAUGAGGAAGACGGCGCCUGGAGGGCUGGGCCUCUGCGGAUGCUCUGAGCCCGCCACCUCAGGAUCCUGGGGGGAAGCACCCUCCAGUUGUGGUCGUUGCUGCUGUUUAACCAAUCAAGGCUUCCAUCCACAUUAAAACUCCAAGCAGGACUUCACCUGCUCUCCAGUGAGGCACAGAGGAGCAGGAGAUGAAGCCAUGUGACAAGUGCUGGCUGGGACGGAUCCUGGGGUGAGAUGGAAGCUUUUCAGCAAAGGAGUGACAUGGCCUGGCUUACGUCUUCCAAGUGUCUCUCUGGAGCUUAGCUGAGAAUAGACCUUUUCCUUUUUUUAAGUUUUUUUAAUUGGAGUAUAGUUGCUUUGCAGCGUCUUGUGGCGACCUCAUCCCAGAGCCCAGCGAGGCCCUGGGCAGUGAGUGCUGUUUCUAUUAGCCAUAGGGCUUGGAGUGAGACGCCCUUAUCUAUUUAUUUAAUGUUUUUAUUUUCUCCUGGGGUAUGGCCGAUUAACAGUGUUGUGAUAGUUUCAGGUGGACAGCUAAGGGACUCAGCCACACAUAAACACACAUCCGUUCUCCCCCAACCACCCCUCCCACCCAGGCCACCACGUAACCCUGAGCAGAGUUCGCUGUGCUGUACAGCAGGUCCUUGCUGGCCAUCCACUUUAAAUACAGCAGUGCGUACAUGUCCAUCCCCAGCUCCCUAUCCCUUCCCCUUGGCAACCAUAGUUUGUUCUCUAAGAAACUCCCUUAUUUAAACUGAGAUACAUUUUGUAUUAGAAAGCAUUUAUUUGGGGGUACAGAUAUUGCUAACAUAAGAAACUAACUUGAGCUUUAAAAAAAUACUGAUACAGGAACUGAGGGGAGCUAAAUAUGGAAAAGAGGUUGGCUGUGUAUUAUUUGACUUCAUUCUAUUUGGCUUUGAAUUAUGGGACUUUAUUCCUUCACAGUGCUAGAGGCCAGAUGUCCAAAGACAAGGUAUCAGCAGGGUUUGGUCCUUCUUUUUGUAUUAUAAAAAUUUAUUACAAUUUUUUUAAAUUUAUUUAUUUUAAUUGGAGGCUAAUUACUUUAUAAUAUUGUAGUGGUUUUGCCAUACAUUGACAUGAGUCCGCCAUGGGUGUACAUGU